UUUUUUUUUGUUUUGUUUUUGAUGACCCUGACAGUAUUGAAGAAUACUGGUCUAGUACUUUGUAAAAUGUCCCUUAAUUGGAAUUUGAUGUUUUUCCCACGAUUAGACAGGUGUUACCAGUUUCUGGAAGACCACAGAAGUAAAGUGCUAUUUAUAUCAAAGGUACAUACCAUCAUCAUGACUUACCACUGUUACUAUUGACCUUGACCAUCUGGUUGAGGUAGUGUUUAUUAGGUUUCACCACUGUAAAGCAAUACAUUAUUAAGAGAUCAAAUUAGAGGUAAAGAUACUGGACAUUAACACUGAGCUAAAAAAAUUCUAAGCAGAAUCCUCAGCACUGCUAUUAGGUUCCAUUAAAUGACUGCUAACAUAUACCAUGAAGAAAAUACAAUAAACUAGAAAUUGAAAUGGGAAAAUAAAACUCCAAAACUAUAGCUUAAAUAUUCACUUAAUGGAGGUGAAAGUGAAUUUUCUGCCUUGAACUAUCUUUACUUUAUCCUCUACAUCCCUUGGAUAGUAAAGAUUUUAUUUUAAUUGUCAGAAGAGGUAAUUUAAAUCUAUUAUUUUUUGCUGAGUGCUUUUCCAUAUUGUCCUCAACAGAACAAUGAACACUGAUUAUUGAAAUAAUGUGAAAGACUUGAUUUUUUUCCCCCUUGCUCUAACCUAUUUGUCAUAUAUACAACUUCUUGCAUAUGAUUUUAGGGUGUUUGCUAAAUAUAAAAAUAAUUUCAAUGUGUUUAGUUUUGUAAAAUUUAUCAUAUCGAAUGUGUGCAAUUUUUUACUACCAUGUUCAUUGUACUUAAUCUAUAUAUCCAUAUUUUGUAGUCUGCUAAUAUUAGUGGACCAUAAAGGAGUUGUGAAUGCAUGAAUGCAACUUGAGACACAUGCUUGGUUAUUUGGCACUGUCAGAAUACUGUAGGUACUUAUAAAUUGAAUAGAUAAUCUAGAUUAUAUUUCCUCCAAUUUAAGUUGUUUUGGGUUUUUAUUUCCCCGCCCUUGAAUCUAUGUUAUCUUUUUACCUCUGUACAAAUAAUAGACUUUCUGAAAAUGCUAGAAUCUUCAAUAUGUAAUACUCAAAUUUGAGCAUGACAGUAAUGUAAGGAAAUUCAGAAGUCUCAAACUAUUUUUUUUUUUGAGUUUUCAAAGUAAAUCAAACUACAGUUGUUUUCAUUUGACUAUAUUGUGGAAACCUAUGGAUAUUAUUGUAAGAUGCACAUGCAUUACACUUUUUUAAAAUGUUUUGAAUUAAUAAAGAAUUCACCAUUGUAUCUGUAGAGCAAGUUACUGUUUCCUCAUUGGUGUAACAGAGUAAAAAGUACACUUAUUUAUAUUACUUAAAUUGCUUAUGCAUCUUAGGGAAUAUAAUUUCUGGCUGGAUUCUUUACAGUGUUCCAUAAAGUUAUCGCUUCUCACACUUUUUCACCUUUAUAAAUAAUAAAGUAUAUUCUUGAAAUAACUUGUUCUGAGAACUCAGCUGAGAGAGAUUAAUCGUGUUGAGUUCAAAUGACUCCCGCCAUUUCUAUGGUUUAAAAAAAAAAAUUCAAAGUGGAGUUUAGAUUUGGGAAAUAACUGAUUCCAAUAAAGUUAAAAAAUGGCCUGCUCAGUCCUGUUCUACACUCGGAUCAGAAUUAAAAUAAAAUGGGUUUCAACCACUAUCUCAAACAAUUUUAUUAAGUAAUGUGGCUUGAAUACACAAAGUGAAACCAAUAAUUGAGGUAAUUACUUGGAGCUUUUAAGUAGCAAUACCUAUUUUCUGCUCUAUAUAAUUUGGAGUCAUCUCAUUCCUCCACUUUGCAUUUGUCUGUAGACCUAAGGAAUGAAUUGAGACAAUGCAAGCUCACUUUACAAGAAUUUUACUUCACCUUAAUAGUUUUGAUUAGACGACUUAGGGAUGACCUAACCUUGUAAAAGGCUCCCGUAUAUACCAUUUGAUUAAAAAAAAAACAAACCAACCAAACAAAACCCCACGAGUUUACAGUAUUUCAGCUCUCUCAACAAUGAAAACAUUUAGAACAUCCUGCGCAAAGCAGUUAGGUAGUGGGAGUUCCCAGGCUGAGUCAGCCUUUGCAUCCCCAGGACUGUCUUGGUUUUAUUUAUUCCUUUAUAUCCGUCCCUCGGGUGGCUCUGAAAAGCUCUUUUGAAAGGUGCAGAGCAUUAUACAAACAAACCACAGUAUCCCAGGCACCAAUCCGCUAGCUCAAGGUUUUUGGAGAGAGAUGGAGGAGGUUGGGCUACCGAAGGCGGGACUCUGAGGCUCGCUGCGCUGUGGUUUACCGGUUACCGAUUGAGGAAUCGCUCAAUCCCUUUCCAAGGUAGCUAACGGUAACUAGGAGUGAGGAUGGAUGGGCAGCAGACUCGCUGAGGAAGGAAGGAAGUUUGAAAGCGAGUAAAUGACGUGGCACCUAAGGGGGCAGGAAAGCGGAUCUGGGGAAAUCACUCUCCUGGCGCUAGUCCCGCCCUCAUUAACACGAGCCUUACCCACCGUCGAAAAGAGGCACGAGCAGAGAAAAAGGAAGAGCCGUAGCCGCACGUACACACGGCGAUGCCCAGCCUACAGCUCGCUCUCGGAGACGAAAAGCGCGGCUGGCGCUGGAGGACUUCCGGGGCUGUGUCCUCAGCUCCCCUCCCUCCCCUGCCGAGUCCUCACUCGGGGCUCGGGAACUACAUCCUCGACGUCAGAAAACCGCGUGGCAGGCUGCAGCCUCCGCCUUCCAGGACAGCACAGCGCCCGAGGAGACUCAGAGAGGCGUUUCCGACCCGGCUUCUAAAGAUGCCGACGGUCCCGGGACCC
rnacentral:lncRNA from 1 species